rnacentral:rRNA from 1 species
AUGGGUCCAGUUGCGCUCCUCCUCGUCCUCGUUGCCGUUGCCGUCUCCGUCGCGCCGGCGGCUGCCGAGCUGCCGCGGCUGGAGCACUCGCCCAAGGCGGAUGGGUCACUGUCCAUCCUUGCCCUCGGCGACUGGGGGAGGCGUGGGGAGUUCAACCAGUCCCGGGUACGCACUGAUCGAUCUACAUGGCAGCAUGGCACGCCCCCCUUCUCGAUCGGCGACACCAGCUGCAUGCAGUAG